AACUUCUUUUUUUCUAGUUCUUAUCAAUUCUCAAUUAUCUGGUGGCUAUUAGAUCUUGUUAUUUUUAGAUUUGCAACAUUUUUAUUUUAUUUUUUAUUGUUCUUCCUCUUUUUUAGUUUUGUUUUUCCUUAUGUGAUUUGUUGUUUGUUGUAUGAAGAAUGGUUGUUGUGGGAUCGUCGGUUUCGUCGUUUUCUUCUUUGAGUUUUGUAGGAGAA
rnacentral:lncRNA from 1 species